rnacentral:sRNA from 1 species
GUGAAAGUUCUAGAUUAAUAACAUAAAACAGGAAAGAUACAUCACGGACAAUGGUAGUAUAGAGCUUCUGCACAUUGCCCUGUCCAAGUGCCUCAAUCCUCUUCUGGAAUGUUCGUUCAUAGACGUGAGAUAAUAGUGCAUUUGCUGCGCCACUUUGGUCCUUGGCCUUU